ACACUUUCUGCAUCGCUUCUUAUCAGCGUGGUAGUGGCCAGGAGGGCAGCUGGAGACACAGAUUCUGCGUUGUGGGAUGAUAAAGAAGAGGAGUGUCACCAGAGAUUCAGUCCUGAGAACUGAAAUUCCAGCAUGGAUGUGACAGGAAUGGGACCCUCCUGGGUGACUGGAGUGUGGAUACCAGGUUGGCUUCCUAGAUUCCACAGCUAUUGCAACUUGCAACAUUUUAGCUGACUACUGCAGUCCAUGAGGAGAGAGUGCUUCUGCUGCCUAAGAGUUGAAGUUCAGCCAGCUGUGGGUCCCACAGUGCCUGGAAUUCGAUGAAACAGUACAGGGACCUGGUUAUGAGAAUGCCAUCUGACCCUCUCAAAGUCUGACUUCUUAAUGAAAGUGAAAAUGACAGCUCCAAAGAAAAGGAGUUAUU